rnacentral:lncRNA from 1 species
CCAGACCAUAUGACCCACCCCAGGCUAUGUGACUCAAAAAUUACCUAAUUUCUAGAGCAGCACACAGUCGUGUGGUCCGCCUGUGUGGUUGCCCAUGUGGUUCGUGAACUACCUCAGAACCGGCUGCAAAAUAUGAAUCUCAGUAUCACUCCAGCAUCAAAUCAAAAAUAUUUAAGAACACAUACCAGAUAGAUAUUUCCAAAGCACUAAAA